CGUGCGCUGAACAGGCGCAGCACCAUUACCCCCUCCUGGCCCUCCGGCACCAUCUACUCCCAAGUGCUGCGGAGGCAGGUGAGCCAUGAUCCCUUAGGGAUGGGAUCCCGGCGCUGGAGCACGGACAUGACCCUGAUGGGAUUCCUUGCGUGGGGGUCUCCCAUAGGGGCAGCAGCACCCAAAGGGACCUUAUGGGGAGCUCUGUGCUGCUGCUCAUCCUUUGCUCUCUGUCAGAAGCAGAAAGGAGCCUCCAUCACCAAGCAUCCCUCCUGCAUCACCAUCUACACCACAGCCACCAGCCAGCCCUUGGACACAGCCCUGGCCCCCAGUGCAGCCCCCUGUGCCUCACGGGACCCCCCGGCACAGCCCCACACCUCGCAGGGCCGCCGCAUAGAGAGCCCCAGCAAGGAGCCCACGACGGUUUAUGCCAGGGUGAUGAUGCCCACGGCCUGAGCCUCUGCCCCAUGGACACCGACAGCACCUUCCCGGCCGGAUGAAGCCCUCCUCAUCCCUGUGGGACUGGGGCAAACCCCUGGCAUGCGGAGCGGAAGGGAUGGCAAAGAGCAGGGCUGAGGGAAGCAAGGCCACAGAUCCCCUUGGGUUCCAGUUAAGGGAGGAUGCUGAAGCACUGGGAGAGGGUGGAAGGAGUCUGGAUGCAGUGGACACGAGUGACACAGGGAGAAGCGGCUCCUCGGAGGGGAGGGUUAGGGUUAGGGACCCUUCAGCUCCGCACAGCACCAUCGGGAAGUGCGGCUGGAGCCGCUUGGGAUCCCGGCCUCAUCCCUCUGCCCCGUGGGCCUCCACUCGGCCUCCGUGAGGCUUCACUAGAGGGAGCCGUGGGACCGGUGCUGAGCGCUCAGCAGCACCGGCUGGAACCGGAGGGAGAUUGCGACGACCGAAGCGAUUCUGCUAUGAUCAGAAGCGAUUUUUCUGUAGCCAAAGUGAUUUUUCUAUAGCCAGAAAUGAUUUUUUCUAUGACCAGAAGUGAUUUUUCUAUAACCAAAAGUAUUUUUUCUAUAACCAAAGUGAUUUUCCCAUGAUCAGAAAUGAUUUUUCUAUGACCAGAAAUGAUUUUCCCAUGAUCAGAAAUGAUUUUUCUAUGACCAGAAAUGAUUUUUUCUAUGACCAGAAAUUAUUUUUUCUAUGACCAGAAAUGAUUUUCCUAUGACCAGAAAUGAUUUUUCUAUGACCAGAAAUGAUUUUUUCUAUGACCAGAAAUGAUUUUCCUAUGACCAGAAGUGUUUUCUUGUUCAACUUCUCUUCCAGCAGCAGUUCUGAAACUGCUGCCUUCCUGCUGCACAAGGUUUUGCAAUGCCUGGAGCCUGAGCCUGACCCUGCACUGGGAGCACUCGUGGCCCUGCUUGGGCAAUGCCUCUCCCCACUUCUCCAUCCCCAUCCUUUCCCAAUGCUGACUGUAGGAACAGGCAAGGGUUUUCCUUGGACUCUUUUAAAGACUGCUGAGAGCUGAAUCUGAAGCAGCUCCUGCCCAUGGCCUGGCCACCCCCUGCCCACAGCAGAUCCCACAUUCCCUGCAGGAAUGCCCCAGGGAUGCUGGAGGGGCCUGGAUGAAGGACAGCGCCUGUCAAACCGUUCCAAGUCCAAGCUGGUUUAUAAUCCCAAUGGAACACAGCUCACCCAGCAGGGCUGACGAAGGGAAAGGGAAAUAAAUGCGUGGUAAAGCCUAUUGGAAAGGGUUGCUGGAUGAGUGUGUCAUAGGCUGCUCCAGCACAUCAGCUGAGCUGCUUCCUUGGAAAAGUCUCCAAAGCAGCAGCUUCAUCAGGAUCAUGGGCAGGACCACAGAGGGACAAGGAUUGUGGCUCUAAAAGGGGGUAAAAGGCUCAUUCUGUGCCUGGUGCUUGGUGCAGGGUUUAGCCUGGUGCUGCUCCUUGCAGGGUGAUGGAGCACCCUGUGAUGGGGCACCCAACCAUGGCUUCACGCGGGCAUCGGAUGCUCGGGAUGGGGAAGGGUUUCAGUGCCAAUGGUGAUGGUGUUGAUGAGAGGGGGAUGGCUGGAGGAGACAAAGGGGGUUCCAGGGUGGUCCAUCCCCUCAGUGUCUCUUUGUGCCUUAGCCCACAAGAGGAGCCCAUCCCCAGUGUCACAGCAUCCCUUAUGGAGCAUCCCUGGUGACACUCGUCCAUUGCGAUUCCUUCCAGGGCCUAAAGGGGUUACAAGAAACCUGGAGAGGGGCUUUGGACAAAGGGUGGAGGGACAGGACAAGGGGAAUGGCUUGAACCUGCCCGAGGGGAGAUGGAGAUGAGCUCUUAGCAGAAGCUCUUCCCUGGGAGGGUGAUGGGACACUGGGAUAGGUUGGAGGGAGAUGCUGUGGCUGCAGUGCUCAAGGCCAGGUUGGACACAGGGGCUUGGAGCAGCUGCUCCAGUGGAAGGGGUCCCUGCCCGUGGAGCUGGAUGAGCUUUAAGCUCCCUUCCAACCCAAACCAGUUUGGGUUCUCUGUUUACCCCCUGCCUAUUCUACGUUCAUACCCAUUGGCCUCACGUCUCCAUCUGACGUCACUCGUGGUCCCAGUCGCUGGGUGAAGCGUGGUUAUUUCCACCCGUCACAUCUUCCUGCAGCCACCAGCUGUGGUACAUGCUGGGUGCAGAGAGCUCCCGUCCACGCACCGUGGGUUGAUGGAUGGCUUUUGGUGCCUGAUGCUUGCCUUCAUCCUUCAGCAAGAGGUGCACAGCACCAGUGAGGUGGAGAUGAUCGGCACCGUGGGCAGCUCCAUCACCUUCCAGCUGCAGAGCCUGGAGGGAGCAGCUGCAGCCUGGAGCUUCCACAACGAUGUGGUGGUGACCGUGAGGUUCGGUGACCCUCCAGAGCCCACCUUCUUUGAUGACAGCUUCAGGCCCCGCUUGGCCUUCCCCAGCAACGGCAGCGCGCUCAGCAUCUCCCAGCUGACACUGGAGGAUGCUGGUACCUACACGGCCAAGA